rnacentral:rRNA from 1 species
UACGUAGGGUCCGAGCGUUGUCCGGAAUUACUGGGCGUAAAGAGCUCGUAGGUGGUUUGUCGCGUUGUUCGUGAAAACUCACAGCUUAACUGUGGGCGUGCGGGCGAUACGGGCAGACUGGAGUACUGCAGGGGAGACUGGAAUUCCUGGUGUAGCGGUGGAAUGCGCAGAUAUCAGGAGGAACACCGGUGGCGAAGGCGGGUCUCUGGGCAGUAACUGACGCUGGAGGAGCGAAAGCGUGGGGAGCGAACAGG